GAUGAACGCUGGCGGCGUGCCUAAUACAUGCAAGUCGAGCGAACGGACGAGAAGCUUGCUUCUCUGAUGUUAGCGGCGGACGGGUGAGUAACACGUGGAUAACCUACCUAUAAGACUGGGAUAACUUCGGGAAACCGGAGCUAAUACCGGAUAAUAUUUUGAACCGCAUGGUUCAAAAGUGAAAGACGGUCUUGCUGUCACUUAUAGAUGGAUCCGCGCUGCAUUAGCUAGUUGGUAAGGUAACGGCUUACCAAGGCAACGAUGCAUAGCCGACCUGAGAGGGUGAUCGGCCACACUGGAACUGAGACACGGUCCAGACUCCUACGGGAGGCAGCAGUAGGGAAUCUUCCGCAAUGGGCGAAAGCCUGACGGAGCAACGCCGCGUGAGUGAUGAAGGUCUUCGGAUCGUAAAACUCUGUUAUUAGGGAAGAACAUAUGUGUAAGUAACUGUGCACAUCUUGACGGUACCUAAUCAGAAAGCCACGGCUAACUACGUGCCAGCAGCCGCGGUAAUACGUAGGUGGCAAGCGUUAUCCGGAAUUAUUGGGCGUAAAGCGCGCGUAGGCGGUUUUUUAAGUCUGAUGUGAAAGCCCACGGCUCAACCGUGGAGGGUCAUUGGAAACUGGAAAACUUGAGUGCAGAAGAGGAAAGUGGAAUUCCAUGUGUAGCGGUGAAAUGCGCAGAGAUAUGGAGGAACACCAGUGGCGAAGGCGACUUUCUGGUCUGUAACUGACGCUGAUGUGCGAAAGCGUGGGGAUCAAACAGGAUUAGAUACCCUGGUAGUCCACGCCGUAAACGAUGAGUGCUAAGUGUUAGGGGGUUUCCUCCCCUUAGUGCUGCAGCUAACGCAUUAAGCACUCCGCCUGGGGAGUACGACCGCAAGGUUGAAACUCAAAGGAAUUGACGGGGACCCGCACAAGCGGUGGAGCAUGUGGUUUAAUUCGAAGCAACGCGAAGAACCUUACCAAAUCUUGACAUCCUUUGACAACUCUAGAGAUAGAGCCUUCCCCUUCGGGGGACAAAGUGACAGGUGGUGCAUGGUUGUCGUCAGCUCGUGUCGUGAGAUGUUGGGUUAAGUCCCGCAACGAGCGCAACCCUUAAGCUUAGUUGCCAUCAUUAAGUUGGGCACUCUAAGUUGACUGCCGGUGACAAACCGGAGGAAGGUGGGGAUGACGUCAAAUCAUCAUGCCCCUUAUGAUUUGGGCUACACACGUGCUACAAUGGACAAUACAAAGGGCAGCGAAACCGCGAGGUCAAGCAAAUCCCAUAAAGUUGUUCUCAGUUCGGAUUGUAGUCUGCAACUCGACUACAUGAAGCUGGAAUCGCUAGUAAUCGUAGAUCAGCGUGCUACGGUGAAUACGUUCCCGGGUCU
rnacentral:rRNA from 1 species